AGAGUUUGAUCCUGGCUCAGGAUGAACGCUAGCGGCAGGCCUAAUACAUGCAAGUCGAGCGGCAAGUCGAGGAGUAAUCUAAGACCUAGAGCGGCGCACGGGUGCGUAACGCGUAUGUAACCUACCCUAUACAGGGGGAUAGCCCGGAGAAAUCUGGAUUAAUACCCCAUGGCACUGCGAAUCAGCAUUGGAUUGCAGUUAAAGAUUUAUCGGUAUAGGAUGGACAUGCGUCUGAUUAGCUAGUUGGCGGUGUAACGGACCACCAAGGCGACGAUCAGUAGGGGUUCUGAGAGGAAGGUCCCCCACACUGGCACUGAGAUACGGGCCAGACUCCUACGGGAGGCAGCAGUAGGGAAUAUUGGGCAAUGGACGAGAGUCUGACCCAGCCAUGCCGCGUGCAGGAAGAAGGCGUUCUGCGUUGUAAACUGCUUUUAUCUGGGAAGAAAAGGCCCAUGCGUGGGACAUUGCCGGUACCAGAUGAAUAAGCACCGGCUAACUCCGUGCCAGCAGCCGCGGUAAUACGGAGGGUGCAAGCGUUGUCCGGAUUUAUUGGGUUUAAAGGGUGCGUAGGCGGUUGAUUAAGUCAGCGGUGAAAGUUUUGGGCUCAACCCAGAAAUUGCCAUUGAUACUGGUCGACUUGAGUAUUGCAGGGGUACAUGGAAUUGAUGGUGUAGCGGUGAAAUGCAUAGAUACCAUCAGGAACACCGAUAGCGAAGGCAUUGUACUGGGCAACCACUGACGCUGAUGCACGAAAGCAUGGGGAGCGAACAGGAUUAGAUACCCUGGUAGUCCAUGCCGUAAACGAUGAUUACUCGCUGUUAUGCUCUAGUAGUGUAGCGGCCAAGCGAAAGCGUUAAGUAAUCCACCUGGGGAGUACGCCCGCAAGGGUGAAACUCAAAUGAAUUGACGG
rnacentral:rRNA from 1 species